rnacentral:rRNA from 1 species
CUCAGGAUGAACGCUGGCGGCGUGCCUAACACAUGCAAGUCGAACGAAGCACUUUCUCGGAGAUUCGUCGAAGAGGAAUUGACUUAGUGGCGGACGGGUGAGUAAUGUAUGAGCAACCUGCCUUUCAGUGGGGGACAACAGUUGGAAACGACUGCUAAUACCGCAUAAUGUAUCGAGGGGGCAUCCCCAUGAUACCAAAGGAGUAAUUCGCUGAAAGAUGGGCUCAUAUCUGAUUAGUUAGUUGGUGGGGUAACGGCUCACCAAGACUGCGAUCAGUAGCCGGACUGAGAGGUUGAACGGCCACAUUGGGACUGAGAUACGGCCCAGACUCCUACGGGAGGCAGCAGUGGGGAAUAUUGGGCAAUGGGCGAAAGCCUCGACCCAGCAACGCCGCGUGAAGGAAGAAGGUCUUCGGAUUGUAAACUUCUUUUAUGAGGGACGAAGGACGUGACGGUACCUCAUGAAUAAGCCACGGCUAACUACGUGCCAGCCGCAGC